rnacentral:tRNA from 1 species
AGGGGUGUAGUUCAAUGGCAGAACAGCGGUCUCCAAAACCGUCAAUGUGGGUUCGAUUCCUGCCACCCCUG